rnacentral:rRNA from 1 species
GUCUGUGACCAUACCACCCUGGACAUGCCAUUUCUUGUCUGAACUGAGAAGCUCAGCAGGGGAGGGGCUGGUUAGUAUUUGGAUGGGAGAAAUAUAUGCAAUUUUUCUGAGGCAUGAACA